UGGGCCAUUCAUCAUGUUGCUAAAAUUAGAUCUCUUUAUACCAUUCCUGUGAAAUAAAUGCACACAUACAUCACACAUGUUUUAAAGUGACUUGAUAAUUAAUAUUGUUACACUUGAGAAAAAUCCUGGCUCUCCAUGGAGAAGUCAUGUCAUGAGUCAGAAGAGUGCAGGCUGAGGCAUGCCCUCCACUGAAUGGCUUGUCUGCACUCUGAAAGCCAAGUGAACCAACCAUUCCAUCCGUAUGAAGAGCGUAAGUCCUAGAUUUGCGUCGUGAUGUCAUCUCAGGUGGGUGAGGCCCAGAGGGAGUCACUGUGGCUUUUCUGAAGUAGUACAUUUCAAAGAGUCCAUGGUGAUGACGGCUGAAAAUAUCCUAUCUACAAGAGACAGCUUUCAUUCUCCUUUGUCCAUACUGUCCUAAAUGUUGAUGGCGUGUAUGGUAUCUAGCACAGUGCCCGAUAUAGAGCAAGAAGUCAACAAACAUCUGCUGCCUUCCAUUCUCCAUCCCCUGGAGUCCAUCCACUUAGAUGAGUCUAGGAAGGUAGUGGCAGAAACCUUUUCCAGCACUCAGUGAUAUCAUCAUCGUCAUCAUUAUCAUCACAAUGCUUCUCUCUACCGGGCUGUCAGUUAAAAUUCUAGAGUGAACAGGAACACAUUCAUGGACAAAGUCCUCAAAGUAGUCAGAGUAGGCUAGGCUCUGCUGCCAUAGAAACAACCUCCAAUGCUCAGUGGCUUAAUACAAUAAAGGUUUACGUCUAGGUCCUAGGUCUGCCUAGCUCCAUAAAACAUGGUCUGACCACUACACGAUCAAGUUUUUCCUGAAAAAAUUCUCUGCUGUUACUAUUAGUUUUGUCUGAAAUCUGCCCUUGAGCCAAGUUGCUAUAUAGCACUAAGAAUUAUUUUUGCCUCAAUCUGUCAGAUGGUUCAUUUUUCCAUCCAACAAAUAUUUAUUGAAUCUACUCUCUGCCAGGUACUGCACCAGGGAAGAGGUGGUCAUCAACUAUGAAGGAAUCCAGACCUUUAAUCCUGUAGAGCUUCCAAGUAAGGAUAAUGGGUCAACUACAACCUUCUUCCUAGGAUAUGUCGACGUGCACGGCAUUAGGAAAAUCUGCUCUUUAAAUUAAAAUACAAACUCAUGAGGAUUUUCUUUAUCAUUUACCAAAAAUAUAUGCCUUAGAGAUUCUUUAAUUUCAUUCAUUCUGUCAGUGAAAUGAUAAAUGUUUGUUAGGUGCCUAUUAGGAGUCAGACACCAUACUAGCCAAUCUAAAAGAUAAAAUUGCAUUUAUAAAACCUUUGAUAAUCACAGUUAUUCCAGAUAUACUAGGGAACACCUAAUGUUAAUA
rnacentral:lncRNA from 1 species